GCCACUGUGGCGCAAUGGCUUAGCGCGCUGCUUUCCGGUGCUCACGCAUGAUAGGCAGAGGCUGUGGGUUCGAAUCCCAUCAGUGGUU